GGAAAGAUGACAAGCACUUUGAAAAGAGGGUGAAAAGAGCCUGAAACCGUCACGGGGGAAGCGGAUUGCGUUGGAUUGAUGGGCGCUUGUGUGUUCAGCCUUCGGGUGCAUUGGCACAAGUGCUUAUCCGCUGUGAGUUUUCGGGGGUCGAUUUUGGACCCCUGGGGACUGAGGGCUCCCUUCUUUUAGGUGAGGACAGCGGAGUGACGACGCGAUACGACCCGUCUUGAAACACGGACCAAGGAGUCUAGCGCGGGUGCGAGUCGGAGGGUGCAAGCCCGUGGGCGAAGUGAAAGCGAGUUUUAAAAACGAGCAGUUUGGGGCGGCAUAAGAUCGUUGAUCUUAAGACCGACCCGGAGCAGUUGCGCUGGGACCCGAAAGAUGGUGAACUAUGCCGGAGUAGGGCAAAGCCAGAGGAAACUCUGGUGGAGGCUCGUAGCGGUGCUGACGUGCAAAUCGCUCGUCGAACUUGGGUAUAGGGGCGAAAGACUAAUCGAACCAUCUAGUAGCUGGUUCCCUCCGAAGUUUCUCUCAGGAUAGCGGGCCGACAAGUUGUUUUGUGCGGUAAAGCGAAUGAUUAGCGCAUUCGGGGGCGUUUAGCCUUUGGGCGAUUCUCAAACUUUCAAUGCGCAAGGGUGCCGCUGCUUAAUUGAGCGGUACCGGUAAAAACGUCGGCCCUGUGGGCCACUUUUGGUAAGC
rnacentral:rRNA from 1 species